rnacentral:rRNA from 1 species
UACGGGGGGGGCAAGCGUUGUUCGGAAUUACUGGGCGUAAAGGGUUUGUAGGUGGCUUGCUAAGUCAGACGUGAAAUCCCUCAGCUUAACUGGGGAACUGCGUCUGAGACUGGCUAGCUUGAGUGCAGGAGAGGAACGCGGAAUUCCAGGUGUAGCGGUGAAAUGCGUAGAUAUCUGGAGGAACACCGGUGGCGAAGGCGGCGUUCUGGACUGUAACUGACACUGAAGAACGAAAGCCAGGGGAGCAAACGGG